rnacentral:tRNA from 1 species
CUCCUCAUCGCUUAACUGGAUAAAGCAGUCCCCUCCUAAGGGAUAGCUCGAGGUUCGAGUCCUCGUGGGGAGACCA